rnacentral:tRNA from 1 species
GAGGAGAUGGCCGAGUGGUUAAGGUGAUGGACUGUUCAUCCGUUGAGCUCUACGGGUGUGGGUUCAGAUCCCAUUCUUGUUG